UACAGAGGUGGCAAGCGUUGUUCGGAAUUACUGGGCGUAAAGGGCGCGUAGGCGGCCACCGCAAGUCGACUGUGAAAUCUCCGGGCUUAACUCGGAAAGGUCAGCCGAUACUGCGGGGCUAGAGUGCAGAAGGGGCAACUGGAAUUCUCGGUGUAGCGGUGAAAUGCGUAGAUAUCGAGAGGAACACCUGCGGCGAAGGCGGGUUGCUGGGCUGACACUGACGCUGAUUGUGCGAAAGCUAGGGGAGCGAACGGG
rnacentral:rRNA from 1 species